UGGGGAAUCUUCCGCAAUGGACGAAAGUCUGACGGAGCAACGCCGCGUGAGUGAAGAAGGUUUUCGGAUCGUAAAACUCUGUCUUUUGGGGCGAACGUGAGUAUGGUGAACAAUCAUAGUCAGUGACGGUACCAAAGGAGGAAGCCACGGCUAACUACGUGCCAGCAGCCGCGGUAAUACGUAGGUGGCAAGCGUUGUCCGGAAUUAUUGGGCGUAAAGAGCGCGUAGGCGGGAUAGUCAGUCUGUUGUAAAGUGCGGGGCUCAACCCCGUGAUGGCAAUGGAAACAGCUAUUCUUGAGUGCAGGAGAGGAAAGUGGAAUUCCCAGUGUAGCGGUGAAAUGCGUAGAUAUUGGGAGGAACACCAGUGGCGAAGGCGACUUUCUGGACUGUGUCUGACGCUGAGGCGCGAAAGCCAGGGGAGCGAACGGGAUUAGAUACCCCCGGUAGUCCUGGCCGUAAACGAUGGGUACUAGGUGUGGGAGGUAUCGACCCCUUCCGUGCCGGAGUUAACGCAAUAAGUACCCCGCCUGGGGAGUACGGUCGCAAGACUGAAACUCAAAGGAAUUGAC
rnacentral:rRNA from 1 species